UCCGGUAUGGUGUAACGGCUAACAUUGCCGCCUUUCAUACUCAAUGAAGCAUCGCGGCAGCUCGGGGUUCGAUUCCCCGUACCGGAA